GUUUGCCUCCAGAGCGUGCAGGCUGGGAAGGAGCGUGCAGGAAGGAGCGUGCGCGAAUUGGGGGGCAGGGACUGGAGCUGGGCUGGGCUGUGAAGGAAGUUUAGACGUUGGACUUUGUCUAGUUGAUCGGCAUCACCUUCUUGCUGAGUGACUUUUAUACCUUAUUUUCAACAAAUCAGCCACAGACACCAUAGUGCAUUUAAAAAUGCCGCCAUGGGCUGCUGCCAGUGCUCACGCAGGGUCACAAAUACUCUUCAUUGUUUCAUGGAUGGCACAGCUCCGGGCCGGAGCGCCCGCCGAGACCCUUGUCAUGGGCGCACACCCUCUGUCUCGGGAAUCUUGCUGUUCCUUCUGCGGGAUGGCUCCUCUGUCAGCACUGGCCGGCACCUCGGACCUCGUGUGGGAGCCCUGCAUCUGGGGACUGAGCAGACUUCUGCUCUCAGAAGUGAGACUGCCCCUCACAUGUGACUGAGGUUGACACAGUGGGAUUCCAUCGCUUGGUAAAGAGGACCCAAAUGUAAAGUCUGAGAGGACCAUUUGAAAUCCUCCCAGUGAAAUGGGAGCACGCUUUUAAGCCAUGAAAAUAAACACGAGUUCCGCCACCAGGACUCAGAGGGAAGCAGGAAUUUAUGAUGCUGGAUCGCUCUCUUUCUCCUGCUUUUGUUUUCAGAAAAACAAUUAGGGAUUCUGUGAUAGGCAGCCUCGAAGGUGGCCCGCAAUGAUCCCAUUCACCUUGUAUGUACACCUUUGAAUGUAGUGUGGACGAAGUGACUUGCUUCUAAAGAAGAGAGCAGAGCGGAAGUGGUGGGAUGUCACUUCUGAUAUUUGGUUAUAAAAAGACUGUGGCUUCCAUCUUGGGUGCUCUCUCUUACCCACUCUUGGAUCACACGGCCUAGAUGACUCCAGUCACAAAAUCAUGAGGCAGCCUGUGGAGAGGCCCAGGGGGUGAGGGACAGGGGCAUGACAACAGCCACGUGAGUAAGCUCGGAAACAGACCCCCACACCUCAUAUCAAGCCUUCAGAUGAGACCACAGCCCCAGCUGACAGCUUGACUGCAACUUCAUGAGACAUCUUCAGCCGCAGACACCCAGCCAGGCUGUGUUCAUGUUCCUGACUGAUAGGAAGCAUGAGACAAUAAACGUUUGUCAUUUUAAGCUGCCAAGUUUUGGGGUAAUUUGUUACACAGCAAAAUAUAACUACAGCUUCCUAGCCCAGCAAGAAGUAAAAA
rnacentral:lncRNA from 1 species